UACGAAGGGGGCGAGCGUUAUUCGGAAUCACUGGGCGUAAAGCGUGCGUAGGCUGUUCGGCAAGUUGGAAGUGAAAGCCCAGGGCUCAACCCUGGAAUUGCUUUCAAAACUGCCGAACUAGAGUCCGGGAGAGGAUAGCGGAAUUUCCAGUGUAGUAGUGAAAUACGUAGAUAUUGGAAGGAACACCAGUCGGCGCAAGCGGCUAUCUGGACCGGUACUGACGCUGAGGCACGAAAGCGUGGGGAUCAAACAGG
rnacentral:rRNA from 1 species